AUGCAGCCCGGGUCCUGUGGGGCCGGAGAAAUUCUGGGCCAUAACGUUGUAGCUGGUGCCGGGGCCAGCUCACUGUUUGGUUUAGAGCUAGGACCCCUACACCGCUGCCCGGGCCCGUACGUCAGGCCUAGUGAAGCCCGGAGAGAGUCUCUGGGGCAGGUGAUUUCCAGAGUCUCCGGGUUCCCAAGGGUGCCCACUUGGGAGCAAGCCCAGGAAGUAAAUCCCGCUCCGGGGCUCUGGAAGCUCCAUGCGUCCGGGUCUUGGCGCCGCCCCGCCCGUAAGCUCCCGAGCCUCUUUCGCUGCAGGGAGGGGCACCCGGGACCUGGCGGGGACUGCGGCCGACAGCAGACUGGUGCGGGCAACGCGCAGCAUCCUCUAGCUUCUCCGGCCCCGCCGCCCAGGGGCAUCUCCUCCGCCCCGGGGAGGCAGGGGGCGGGGACCCAGAGCCCGCCCUGUAAUUCCUGCCCCGCCCGCGGGAGAGGAGGGGCUGCGGCUUGGCGGACCACUGAAGGCGCAGGAGCCGCUGCUGCUGUCUGGGGUGACCGAGACUUGGGUGCAGGCGGCUCUCCCAUCCAGCCCGGCCCGAACCUCUCUGGCUCCCGCUGCCUCCUGCUACACGGCUCGGCUCGGGGUGGCUCUUCUUUCCCUGCAGGUGGAGGGACUGUCUAUCAACCCCAGUCAGUUGACUGACUUGCAUCAGGGUGUUACUUUUAAGGAUCCUUUCAGGGCAGGUAAGCUGGGCUUUUGGAGAGGACAUGUAGCGAAGGACUUACCAAACUGAAACUCCUUGGACUACAAGCCCAUAGGACCAUGUAUUUUGUUGGAGGACCAGCCCAACUCAUUUCUGAGAUCAUCACCAGAGGCUUGGCUUCUAGGUGAUGAAUUUUUUUCAGUCGUAGCAACUCACGAAAUACCUACAGGUGGUGAAAUCAGAGAUCCUUGUAGUAUUCAAGUAAGCCAUCUUCUAGUCUAAAUAUGAGAAAUGUAAUCUAAAUGAUACUUUUUUCCCCCAGG
rnacentral:lncRNA from 1 species